rnacentral:misc_RNA from 1 species
GUGAAUCAUCAAAUUUUUGAACGCAAAUUGCACUCUCUGGCAUUCCGGAGAGUAUGCCUGUUUGAGGGUCAGUUUAAAUAAAAAUCGUGGUGUUGCUGUUUUGUGACCUAUCGUAAUUGGGUAAUCUUUGAACUUUUAAAAAGUUUAAGUGACCUAAAAUGGAUACCUUGUGCAUCUUAGCCGUGCAUAAGAAUAUUUUUUUAUCCGUCCGGAGCUGCCAACUUUUUUAUAGGUAUGAUCAU